rnacentral:misc_RNA from 1 species
GCGAAGAAGAGCAUUUUCGAAGUCUUGGCAAGCCAUCAAUAAUACCGCCCUGGUGAUUUCACACAACAACAGCCACUAAACUCUUAUCUUCUGAGAUCCAAGCUGCAUCAGAAUUAACUUUAAAAGUCCCCAUGAGAGGGAGAGAUCACCUAGAAUGAGAAUCAGACUUAAAGAUAUAGAAGUAGCUUCUUCCAAGAGACGCUUUAAAUGCUGCAACUCAUCAAGACUUCGUUUGAUUCUCAUAGACCCUACAUUUCAUUAAAUACGACUCAAACAGCGAGCAAAAUUGAGCCACAGCUAUUACCUAACCACAGCCCCUGUUCCCUCCCUCUCAGCAUCCCCAAAACAAUUAAUAAAAAGGUUAAGAAGUUUGAAUUUAGAAACCUCAAAAUGUGAAAGUAAGCAUAUAUAUUAAGAAGUGAUUAAAAUAUUCUCAUCUGUAAAAGAAAUUGUAGCACAAUAAUACAAACAAGCUUGCCAGUGCUCCAUAGCAAGAUGGGUUUAAGGGGUCAAGACCUUUGUUUUCCUCUCUUCUGAAUUGAAAACGUUAGAAAUUCGAAGGUUUCUUCUGGAGAUGAUAGCUAUCUAUUAGUUUUUGAGGUUUCUUCUUGGCCAUGGUUGAUUUUUAAGCCUUGCAUGAUUAUAGUAGAAGCUUCUUCUCUUCUAGUCUCUAACGGAUUACUCUGGUUCUGCAAAUUCCCGAUGUGGUGGUGCUGCGCUCUAUUGCUCUCCGGCCGGGUGUAUGUUCUGAUGGGAAAGGAUCAUGGGCUUGCAAUGAUGAGCCUAUAUUUGGAUUUGGAUCGUGAAUCGGACCUCAAGUUUGGAAAUUGUAACCCGCACGAUGACUUCCAUUCAAUGUCAAGUGCAAUUCAAAACUGAGAUUUUAGAUUUAUUACUCCGAGUUGUUAUCAGGGUUUGUUCUUAUUGAAUAAAAAUAGCCGCAAAUGCUUCACUUCCAGAACCACUAGUAUUCAAAGAAGGAGAGCUACAGUUGCCCAAAAAAAUAAAUAUAUUUGGGCUUUUAAAAAAAUAUUAGGCCUCAUAUUUAUCCUGACCGCUGCUAAAAGUUAUCGGGCAGUUAUCG